UGGGGAAUAUUGGUCAAUGGACGAGAGUCUGAACCAGCCAAGUAGCGUGAAGGACGACUGCCCUAUGGGUUGUAAACUUCUUUUAUAAGGGAAUAAAGUGAGGGACGUGUCCCUUUUUGUAUGUACCUUAUGAAUAAGGAUCGGCUAACUCCGUGCCAGCAGCCGCGGUAAUACGGAGGAUCCAAGCGUUAUCCGGAUUUAUUGGGUUUAAAGGGAGCGUAGGUUGACAUAUAAGUCAGCUGUGAAAGUUUACGGCUCAACCGUGAAAUUGCAGUUGAUACUGUAUGUCUUGAGUGCACAAGAGGUGGGCGGAAUUCGUGGUGUAGCGGUGAAAUGCUUAGAUAUCACGAAGAACUCCAAUUGCGAAGGCAGCUCACUGGGGUACAACUGACACUGAGGCUCGAAAGCGUGGGGAGCAAACA
rnacentral:rRNA from 1 species